GUGGAUUAUAAAACGUGCGUUGCACGUGCACGCUUACUAGUUGUAGAAAUCUAAUAACAUGUUGAUGACAAUUUUUUUUUGAGCAUCAGUACAGACACAAGCGCUCAUAUACACGCGCAUACACUCACUCCUAUGAACGCACACACGCACACCCUACCCCUAUGAGCACCUCUGAAAGACUAAGCCGGCAUAUCAUCUUAAGAUUUAUGAAGUCACCGUAGGCGCCUCGUCGUCGACGGAAACGUCUCCUCCCACUAAAAGCGCAUCGCCAGAAAUCCUGAAAUAAAUCCAGGAAUAAUGCGAGCACCAGGAUUUGAACCCUGGUGGGUUGGGGAUAUCACUGUCCACCUAACCAACUCAACCACAGGUUGAUUCGCGCCGAUGACAAUUAGUGCAAAGGCAUAGCAAGAAGUAUUAAAUAUUCAGGCAAACAGAGAGAAGGACAUGAAAAAAUGGAACAAAUUAAAUAGAUAUGGACUGGUGUGUGGAACAGAAGUAUUGGUGAUUACCAGUAUUUUGCAGGUGGUCACUGCCGAGGAUUCCAGCGCAAGCGAAGUGAAUCGGUUUCAUGAAUUUAGACGAACCGAGAUCAGACAUUCUACGAUUGGAACAAUCAUUGACUGUGCCGCACCAGCCUCCUCCCUUGGUUGUUAAAAGAAACAAACAAGUCCAUCAACUAAUUGCCCUUCCUUGAGUCAACUUGCUAGACAUCCCCA
rnacentral:lncRNA from 1 species